rnacentral:rRNA from 1 species
ACGAACGCCGGCGGCGUGCUUAACACAUGCAAGUCGAACGGAAAGGCCCUGCUUUUGUGGGGUGCUCGAGUGGCGAACGGGUGAGUAACACGUGAGUAACCUGCCCUUGACUUUGGGAUAACUUCAGGAAACUGGGGCUAAUACCGGAUAGGAGCUCCUGCUGCAUGGUGGGGGUUGGAAAGUUUCGGCGGUUGGGGAUGGACUCGCGGCUUAUCAGCUUGUUGGUGGGGUAGUGGCUUACCAAGGCUUUGACGGGUAGCCGGCCUGAGAGGGUGACCGGCACAUUGGGACUGAGAUACGGCCCAGACUCCUACGGGAGGCAGCAGUGGGGAAUAUUGCACAAUGGGCGGAAGCCUGAUGCAGCAACGCCGCGUGCGGGAUGACGGCCUUCGGGUUGUAAACCGCUUUCGCCUGUGACGAAGCGUGAGUGACGGUAAUGGGUAAAGAAGCACCGGCUAACUACGUG